GACGAACGCUGGCGGCGUGCUUAACACAUGCAAGUCGAACGGAAAGUCCCUGCUUUUGUGGGGGGCUCGAGUGUCGAACGGGUGAGUAACACGUUAGUAACCUGCCCUUGACUUUGGGAUAACUUCAGGAAACUGGGGCUAAUACCGGAUAGGAGCUCCUGCGGCAUGGUGGGGGUUGGAAAGUUUCGGCGGUUGGGGAUGGACUCUCGGCUUAUGAGCUUGUUGGUGGGGGAGUGACUUACCAAGGCUUUGACGGGUAGCAGGCGGGAGAGGGUGACCGGCAACAUCAGGGGUGCUGUGACGCCGAGCAGACUCCGGGGGGAGGCAGCAGUGAAUAAUGCUCCAUGGGCGGCGAAAUCCUGAAGGAGCAACGCGUGGGGGAUGAAGGAGGUCCGCGUGUCGUGAGCUUCCGUUCGUGAAGAAGAGACAGUGACGGUAAUUGGUAAAGAAGCACCGGCUAACUCUGUG
rnacentral:rRNA from 1 species